rnacentral:rRNA from 1 species
UACGUAGGGGGCCAGCGUUGUCCGGAAUCAUUGGGCGUAAAGAGCGCGUAGGCGGCCAGACAAGUCCGGUGUGAAAGUCACAGGCUCAACCUGUGAAUGCCGCUGGAAACUGUCGUGGCUAGAGUCCGGAAGGGGCGAGUGGAAUUCCCGGUGUGAGCGGUGAAAUGCGCAGAUAUCGGGAAGAACACCCGUGGCUAAGGCGGCUGCUCUAGACGGUACUGACGCUGAGACGCGAAAGCGUGGGGAGCGAACAGG